rnacentral:ribozyme from 1 species
UGUACAGCAACUCCUAUCCCUACCUCCUCGUGGUACUGGCCGGGGUACGAGUAACCUUAGGGAAGAACUUUGGUCGUAUGCUGACAGGAAAGG